UGAGUACAAGAUGCUACGGCAUUGAAGCAGUCUAUGUCAUACUUCCAAGAAAAGCUUGCAAUGUCAUAAACAAAUAAUGCCUGUACCAUAACCGACACAGGUGGGUAGGUAGAGUAUACUAAGGGGCGCGAGAUAACUCUCUCUAAGGAACUCGGCAAAAUGACUCCGUAACUUCGGGAGAAGGAGUACCUUAUUUUAUAAGGUUGCAAUAACAAGGUCCAAGCAACUGUUUACCAAAAACACAGGUCUCCGCUAAGUCGUAAGACGAUGUAUGGGGGCUGACGCCUGCCCAGUGCCAGAAGGUUAAAGAAGUUGGUUAGCAUUAGCGAAGCUGAUAACUGAAGCCCUGGUGAACGGCGGCCGUAACAAUAACGGUCCUAAGGUAGCGAAAUUCCUUGUCGGGUAAGUUCCGACCCGCACGAAAGGCGUAAUGAUUUGGAUACUGUCUCGGAGAGGGGCUCGGUGAAAUAGACUUGUCUGUGAAGAUGCGGACUACCUGCACCUGGACAGAAAGACCCUAUGAAGCUUUACUGUAACUUGAGAUUGAAAUUGGACUUUAUUUGCGCAGUAUAGGUGGGAGACCUCGAAAGUAUUCUUGCGGGAAUAUUGGAGUCAUCAGUAGAUACCACUCUUAUAAUGUUAGAUUUCUAACUUUGUAUCAUUAUCUGGUCAAAGAACAGUUUCAGGCGGGCAGUUUGACUGGGGCGGUCGCCUCCCAAAUGGUAACGGAGGCGCACAAAGGUUUCCUCUGAACGUGUAGAAAUCGUAUCUAGAGUGUAAAGGCAUAAGGAAGCUUGACUGUGAGACCUACAAGUCGAGCAGGGACGAAAGUCGGUCUUAGUGAUCUGACGGUGCUGAGUGGAAAGGCCGUCACUCAACGGAUAAAAGUUACUCUAGGAUAACAGGCUGAUCUCCCCCAAGAGUUCACAUCGACGGGGAGGUUUGGCACCUUGAUGUCGGCUCAUCGCAUCCUGGGGCGGUAGUACGUCCCAAGGGUUGGGCUGUUCGCCCAUGAAAGCGGUACGCGAGCUGGGUUCAGAACGUCGUGAGACAGUUCGGUCCAUAUCCGGUGUAGGCGUUAGAAUAUUGAGAGGAGCCUUCUUUAGUACGAGAGGACCGAGAAGGACAUACCUCUGGUGUACCAGUUAUCGUGCCAACGGUAAACGCUGGGUAGCUAUGUAUGGAGAGGAUAACCGCUGAAAGCAUCUAAGUGGGAAGCCCACCUC
rnacentral:rRNA from 1 species